rnacentral:tRNA from 1 species
AAGGCACUAGUAAAAAAAUUACACUGCUUUGUCAAGGCAGAAUUGCAGGUUAAACCCCUACGUACCUUA